AGAGUUUUAAGUUAAAUUAAACUGUAAAUUUUCAAGGUUUAUAAUAAAUAAAUUUAUUUAAAUUCUG
rnacentral:tRNA from 1 species